rnacentral:rRNA from 1 species
CCUACGGGUGGCAGCAGUGGGGAAUAUUGCACAAUGGGCGCAAGCCUGAUGCAGCCAUGCCGCGUGUAUGAAGAAGGCCUUCGGGUUGUAAAGUACUUUCAGCGGGGAGGAAGGUGCUGAGGUUAAUAACCUCAGCAAUUGACGUUACCCGCAGAAGAAGCACCGGCUAACUCCGUGCCAGCAGCCGCGGUAAUACGGAGGGUGCAAGCGUUAAUCGGAAUUACUGGGCGUAAAGCGCACGCAGGCGGUCUGUCAAGUCGGAUGUGAAAUCCCCGGGCUCAACCUGGGAACUGCAUUCGAAACUGGCAGGCUGGAGUCUUGUAGAGGGGGGUAGAAUUCCAGGUGUAGCGGUGAAAUGCGUAGAGAUCUGGAGGAAUACCGGUGGCGAAGGCGGCCCCCUGGACAAAGACUGACGCUCAGGUGCGAAAGCGUGGGGAGCAAACAGGAUUAGAUACCCUAGUAGUC